rnacentral:tRNA from 1 species
AGUUUUUUAGUUGUUAAGAGGUGCAUUAUAUACUUCCAAUAUAUAGGACUAUAAGAUAGGCAGAAUA